GUUCCAGCUCUAAGUCGCGGAUCUGUUAGAAGAAUAAUCGAAAAACGUUGAAUUUGCCUUGUGGAAAUGAAACAUUCGUGUGGCAAAAAUAAUAAAUUGAAGAUGAUCUACAAAUCUAGUUGGAGUAACCUUUAAUUUAAAAAAUUGGAAUUAGAUUCUUACAGCCUAUGGGGAAAAGAAUGCAAACAUUUUUCAUACGGCGAACAGUCGUUUAUAAUUUCUGUUACGUAUUUUAAUGAAUUUCGUUCUAUUGCUUUCUGAAAAUAACAAUGUCGUCCACAGGAAUAAAUCAAAUGGAAGGAAUCUUAAACUCACCCUAGCCUCGAGUUUGCUGAUGAUACGCUUGCCACCGACGAUAGCGUUCGCCUCGACUUCCUCCAAUCUCACGGACAGGUUCUUCACUUCAAUUUCAAGGGACUUCUUGAUGGCCUCGAUCUUGACGAUACGUUCUUGUUCCUCGUGCAGGA